rnacentral:rRNA from 1 species
GACGAACGCUGGCGGCGUGCUUAACACAUGCAAGUCGAGCGGUAAGGCCCUUUCGGGGGUACGACGAGCGGCGAACGGGUGAGUAACACGUGGGUGACCUGCCCUCAGCUCUGGGAUAAGCCUGGGAAACCGGGUCUAAUACCGGAUAUGACUCCAUGACGCAUGUUGUGGGGUGGAAAGCCUUGUGCGGCUGAGGAUGGGCCCGCGGCCUAUCAGCUU